UGGUAUCUCCCGUCCGCAAGGAAAACCGUGGGGGUCCUUAAACCGAAAUUGCGGGCCAAAAGGGAUUUUUUCCCGGAUUUAGCCGGAACGGGGGAUAAACCGGGGUAACCUGCCUUAAGACUGGAUAAUUCCGGAAACCGAAGCUAAUCCGGAUAUUCCUUGAACGCCAGGUUCAAGGUUAAAGACGGUUUCGGCUUUCAAUUACAGAUGGACCCGCGGCCCAUUAGCUAGUUGGUGAGGUAACGGUUCACCAAGGCGACGAUGCGUAGCCGACCUGAGAGGGUGAUCGGCCACACUGGGACUGAGACACGGCCCAGAUUCCUACGGGAGGCAGCAGUAGGGAAUCUUCCGCAAUGGACGAAAGUCUGACGGAGCAACGCCGCGUGAGUGAUGAAGGUUUUCGGAUCGUAAAGCUCUGUUGUUAGGGAAGAACAAGUGCAAGAGUAACUGCUUGCACCUUGACGGUACCUAACCAGAAAGCCACGGCUAACUACGUGCCAGCAGCCGCGGUAAUACGUAGGUGGCAAGCGUUGUCCGGAAUUAUUGGGCGUAAAGGGCUCGCAGGCGGUUUCUUAAGUCUGAUGUGAAAGCCCCCGGCUCAACCGGGGAGGGUCAUUGGAAACUGGGAAACUUGAGUGCAGAAGAGGAGAGUGGAAUUCCACGUGUAGCGGUGAAAUGCGUAGAGAUGUGGAGGAACACCAGUGGCGAAGGCGACUCUCUGGUCUGUAACUGACGCUGAGGAGCGAAAGCGUGGGGAGCGAACAGGAUUAGAUACCCUGGUAGUCCACGCCGUAAACGAUGAGUGCUAAGUGUUAGGGGGUUUCCGCCCCUUAGUGCUGCAGCUAACGCAUUAAGCACUCCGCCUGGGGAGUACGGUCGCAAGACUGAAACUCAAAGGAAUUGACGGGGGCCCGCACAAGCGGUGGAGCAUGUGGUUUAAUUCGAAGCAACGCGAAGAACCUUACCAGGUCUUGACAUCCUCUGACAACCCUAGAGAUAGGGCUUUCCCUUCGGGGACAGAGUGACAGGUGGUGCAUGGUUGUCGUCAGCUCGUGUCGUGAGAUGUUGGGUUAAGUCCCGCAACGAGCGCAACCCUUGAUCUUAGUUGCCAGCAUUCAGUUGGGCACUCUAAGGUGACUGCCGGUGACAAACCGGAGGAAGGUGGGGAUGACGUCAAAUCAUCAUGCCCCUUAUGACCUGGGCUACACACGUGCUACAAUGGACAGAACAAAGGGCUGCGAGACCGCAAGGUUUAGCCAAUCCCACAAAUCUGUUCUCAGUUCGGAUCGCAGUCUGCAACUCGACUGCGUGAAGCUGGAAUCGCUAGUAAUCGCGGAUCAGCAUGCCGCGGUGAAUACGUUCCCGGGCCUUGUACACACCGCCCGUCACACCACGAGAGUUUGCAACACCCGAAGUCGGUGAGGUAACCUUUAUGGAGCCAGCCGCCGAAGUGCAGAUUGUUGA
rnacentral:rRNA from 1 species